rnacentral:rRNA from 1 species
CGCGCGCAGGCGGCUUCUUAAGUCUGAUGUGAAAGCCCACGGCUCAACCGUGGAGGGUCAUUGGAAACUGGGGAGCUUGAGUGCAGAAGAGGAGAGUGGAAUUCCACGUGUAGCGGUGAAAUGCGUAGAGAUGUGGAGGAACACCAGUGGCGAAAGCGGCUCUCUGGUCUGUAACUGACGCUGAGGCGCGAAAGCGUGGGGAGCAAACAGGAUUAGAUACCCUGGUAGUCCACGCCGUAAACGAUGAGUGCUAGGUGUUAGGGGGGUCCAACCCCUUAGUGCUGAAGUUAACACAUUAAGCACUCCGCCUGGGGAGUACGACCGCAAGGUUGAAACUCAAAGGAAUUGACGGGGGCCCGCACAAGCAGUGGAGCAUGUGGUUUAAUUCGAAGCAACGCGAAGAACCUUACCAGGUCUUGACAUCCUCUGACAACCCUAGAGAUAGGGCGUUCCCCUUCGGGGGACAGAGUGACAGGUGGUGCAUGGUUGUCGUCAGCUCGUGUCGUGAGAUGUUGGGUUAAGUCCCGCAACGAGCGCAACCCUUGAUGUUAGUUGCCAGCAUUGAGUUGGGCACUCUAACGUGACUGCCGGUGACAAACCGGAGGAAGGUGGGGAUGG